GUGAGGAAUCUUCCACAAUGGGCGAAAGCCUGAUGGAGCAACGCCGCGUGAAGGAUGAAGGUCUUCGGAUUGUAAACUUCUUUUAUGAGUGAAGAAUAUGACGGUAACUCAUGAAUAAGCACCGGCUAACUACGUGCCAGCAGCCGCGGUCAUACGUAGGGUGCAAGCAUUAUCCGGAGUGACUGGGCGUAAAGAGUUGCGUAGGCGGUUAUGUAAGCGAAUAGUGAAACCUGGUGGCUCAACCACACAGACUAUUAUUCGAACUGCAUAACUCGAGAAUGGUAGAGGUAACUGGAAUUUCUUGUGUAGGAGUGAAAUCCGUAGAUAUAAGAAGGAACGCCAAUGGCGUAGGCAGGUUACUGGGCCAUUUCUGACGCUAAGGCACGAAAGCGUGGGGAGCGAACCGGAUUAGAAACCCGAGUAGUCC
rnacentral:rRNA from 1 species